rnacentral:rRNA from 1 species
CUGAUGACGAGUGGCGGACGGGUGAGUAACGCGUGGGAAUCUACCCAAAAGUCGGGGACAACCUGGUGAAAACCAGGCUAAUACCGGAUGUGGUCUACGGACUAAAGCAGGGGAUCUUCGGACCUUGCGCUAUUGGAUGAGCCCGCGUUAGAUUAGCUAGUUGGUGGGGUAAUGGCCUACCAAGUCUACGAUCUAUAGCUGUUCUGAGAGGAAGAUCAGCCACACUGGGACUGAGACACGGCCCAGACUCC